UUAGCACAUGGCACGGGCAUAAAAAUCCUAAAGCAUCAAUGGACUUCUGCCCUACAGGCCCAAACAGCCACUUCAAUGGUGCGUGUUCUUUUAAUGGCCGCCUUCCCACUAGAAGUUCUGAUCCACAGCAAUUUGAAAGGGGGAAAGAGUAAAACUGAUGGUAGUGCAGAGAGAAGACAUGCCCUUGACAAGGAAACCAUGGGAGCCAUAUUUGUGGCAGUCAAGAAGAGGUUUCCCAAUGUGUCCAGAGGAGCUUUGGGUAUUGCAGUGAAUUCCAAGCUGGGGGAACUGAGACUGCUUGAAAAAAAAGGAGCUAAUUUUUUUUUGUUUUGUUUUGUUUUUUAAUU